UAGAUUGCAUGAAUAGAUUGAACGAAUAGAUUGCACGAAUAGAUUGUGCAAUCUAUUCGUGCAAUCUAUUAGUGCAAUCUAUUCGUGCAAUCUA
rnacentral:pre_miRNA from 1 species